rnacentral:rRNA from 1 species
AUGAACGCUGGCGGCGUGCCUAAUACAUGCAAGUCGAGCGAACAGAUGAGGAGCUUGCUCCUCUGACGUUAGCGGCGGACGGGUGAGUAACACGUGGAUAACCUACCUAUAAGACUGGGAUAACUUCGGGAAACCGGAGCUAAUACCGGAUAAUAUAUUGAACCGCAUGGUUCAAUAGUGAAAGACGGUUUUGCUGUCACUUAUAGAUGGAUCCGCGCCGCAUUAGCUAGUUGGUAAGGUAACGGCUUACCAAGGCAACGAUGCAUAGCCGACCUGAGAGGGUGAUCGGCCACACUGGAACUGAGACACGGUCCAGACUCCUACGGGAGGCAGCAGUAGGGAAUCUUCCGCAAUGGGCGAAAGCCUGACGGAGCAACGCCGCGUGAGUGAUGAAGGUCUUCGGAUCGUAAAACUCUGUUAUUAGGGAAGAACAAAUGUGUAAGUAACUAUGCACGUCUUGACGGUACCUAAUCAGAAAGCCACGGCUAACUACGUG